rfam:Mus musculus chromosome 19, GRC primary reference assembly.
CCCAUGGCCUCACUUGAGGCCACACACACAAUAGGAAAGAACCAGG